rnacentral:tRNA from 1 species
UCCCUAGAAGCUCAGAUGGUAAAGCAUCCGCCUGCAAUGCAGGAGACCUGGGUUCAACCCCUGGGUGGGGAA